rnacentral:rRNA from 1 species
GUAUUAGCUAGUUGGUGAGGUAAUGGCUCACCAAGGCAACGAUACGUAGCCGACCUGAGAGGGUGAUCGGCCACACUGGAACUGAGACACGGUCCAGACUCCUACGGGAGGCAGCAGUAGGGAAUCUGCCGCAAUGGGCGAAAGCCUGACGGAGCAACGCCGCGUGAGUGAUGAAGGUCUUCGGAUCGUAAAGCUCUGUUGUUAGGGAAGAACAAAUGUGUAAGUAACU